rnacentral:rRNA from 1 species
UACGGGGGGGGCAAGCGUUGUUCGGAAUUACUGGGCGUAAAGGGCGCGUAGGCGGCCUGCUAAGUCGGAUGUGAAAUCCCUCGGCUCAACCGAGGAACUGCAUCCGAUACUGGCGGGCUUGAAUUCGGGAGAGGGAUGUGGAAUUCCAGGUGUAGCGGUGAAAUGCGUAGAUAUCUGGAGGAACACCGGUGGCGAAGGCGGCGAUCUGGACUGCAACUGACGCUGAGAAACGAAAGCCAGGGGAGCAAACGGG